UGAGGAAUAUUGGUCAAUGGGCGGGAGCCUGAACCAGCCAAGUCGCGUGAGGGAGGAAGGUCCUACGGAUUGUAAACCUCUUUAGCCGGGGAGCAACGUGCGCCACGUGUGGCGCAGUGAGAGUACCCGGAGAAUAAGCAUCGGCUAACUCCGUGCCAGCAGCCGCGGUAAUACGGAGGAUGCGAGCGUUAUCCGGAUUUAUUGGGUUUAAAGGGAGCGCAGGCCGCCCCUUAAGCGUGUUGUGAAAUGCCGCGGCUCAACCGUGGCACUGCAGCGCGAACUGGGGGGCUUGAGUGCGCGCAGCGCAGGCGGAACUCGUGGUGUAGCGGUGAAAUGCUUAGAUAUCACGAAGAACUCCGAUCGCGAAGGCAGCCUGCGGGAGCGCAACUGACGCUGAGGCUCGAAAGUGCGGGUAUCGAACAGGAUUAGAUACCCUGGUAGU
rnacentral:rRNA from 1 species